rnacentral:rRNA from 2 species
CCUGAUGGAGCAACACCGCGUGAGUGAAGAAGGGUUUCGGCUCGUAAAGCUCUGUUGUUGGAGAAGAACGUGCGUGAGAGUAACUGUUCACGCAGUGACGGUAUCCAACCAGAAAGUCACGGCUAACUACGUGCCAGCAGCCGCGGUAAUACGUAGGUGGCAAGCGUUAUCCGGAUUUAUUGGGCGUAAAGCGAGCGCAGGCGGUUGCUUAGGUCUGAUGUGAAAGCCUUCGGCUUAACCGAAGAAGUGCAUCGGAAACCGGGCGACUUGAGUGCAGAAGAGGACAGUGGAACUCCAUGUGUAGCGGUGGAAUGCGUAGAUAUAUGGAAGAACACCAGUGGCGAAGGCGGCUGUCUGGUCUGCAACUGACGCUGAGGCUCGAAAGCAUGGGUAGCGAACAGGAUUAGAUACCCUGGUAGUCCAUGCCGUAAACGAUGAGUGCUAGGUGUUGGAGGGUUUCCGCCCUUCAGUGCCGGAGCUAACGCAUUAAGCACUCCGCCUGGGGAGUACGACCGCAAGGUUGAAACUCAAAGGAAUUGACGGGGGCCCGCACAAGCGGUGGAGCAUGUGGUUUAAUUCGAAGCUACGCGAAGAACCUUACCAGGUCUUGACAUCUUGCGCUAACCUUAGAGAUAAGGCGUUCCCUUCGGGGACGCAAUGACAGGUGGUGCAUGGUCGUCGUCAGCUCGUGUCGUGAGAUGU